rnacentral:rRNA from 1 species
AACGAACGCUGGCGGCAUGCCUAACACAUGCAAGUCGAACGAGACCUUCGGGUCUAGUGGCGCACGGGUGCGUAACGCGUGGGAAUCUGCCCUUAGGUACGGAAUAACUCAGGGAAACUUGAGCUAAUACCGUAUAAUGACUCCGGUCCAAAGAUUUAUCGCCUAAGGAUGAGCCCGCGUCGGAUUAGCUAGUUGGUGAGGUAAAAGCUCACCAAGGCGACGAUCCGUAGCUGGCUGAGAGGAUGAUCAGCCACACUGGGACUGAGACACGGCCCAGACUCCUACGGGAGGCAGCAGUGGGGAAUAUUGGACAAUGGGCGAAAGCCUGAUCCAGCAAUGCCGCGUGAGUGAUGAAGGCCUUAGGGUUGUAAAGCUCUUUUACCCGGGAUGAUAAUGACAGUACCGGGAGAAUAAGCCCCGGCUAACUCCGU